GCAGCUUGCUAAACUGUAACUGACGUUCAUGCUCGAAAGUGUGGGUAUCAAACAGGAUUAGAUACCCUGGUAGUCCACACGGUAAACGAUGGAUACUCGCUGUUGGCGAUAUACUGUCAGCGGCCAAGCGAAAGCAUUAAGUAUCCCACCUGGGGAGUACGCCGGCAACGGUGAAACUCAAAGGAAUUGACGGGGCCCGCACAAGCGGAGGAACAUGUGGUUUAAUUCGAUGAUACGCGAGGAACCUUACCAGGUCUUGACAUCCCGCUGCCCGGUGUAGAGAUACGCCUUUCCUUCGGGGACAGCGGUGACAGGUGGUGCAUGGUUGUCGUCAGCUCGUGUCGUGAGAUGUUGGGUUAAGUCCCGCAACGAGCGCAACCCGUCGACGCGGCCG
rnacentral:rRNA from 1 species